rnacentral:rRNA from 1 species
UACGGAGGGUGCAAGCGUUAAUCGGAUUUACUGGGCGUAAAGCGCGCGUAGGCGGUUUGGUAAGUCGGAUGUGAAAUCCCAGGGCUCAACCUUGGAAUUGCAUUCGAUACUGCCUCACUAGAGUAUGGUAGAGGGAAGUGGAAUUCCGGGUGUAGCGGUGAAAUGCGUAGAUAUCCGGAGGAACAUCAGUGGCGAAGGCGACUUCCUGGCCCAAUACUGACGCUGAGGUGCGAAAAGCGUGGGGAGCAAACAGGGAUUAGAUCCCGGGUAGUC